CCCCGGGGCGAACCCACCCCACCUCGAGACGUUGGGCGCCGCUUCCCCGACCGCGUCGCGAGGGACGCGACAGGAGGGAAGGGGAGCAGCGCCGCCUCUGCCCUCCACCCACCGGCCUCCACCUCGGCUCUCCGGCCUCCGGGUCCGGCUCCGGCUCCACGACCUGCCGGCCCUCCGGCCUCCGCCUCCGGCUCCGGCUCCGGCUCCACGACCUGCCGACCCACCUCCUCCUCCGCAUCCGGUCGCCGACACCUCCGCCCCUUCAUCUCUGUCGGUCACUCCAACUCCGCUGCUUGGCCUCCCACUCGCUGCAACCUCUCGGCCUUUCCAUCGAUCUGCAGCCGCGCCUCAAGCUCAGCACAUAUCUUGCAGAUCUCGGCCACUACUCUUCUCCAAGAACCACUCCUUGUUCAUCUUUUUGCUGGUUACUCUUGGCCUAGUAGAAAAUGGAUUCUUGGGAGGAUCAAGUUAGAAGAUUCAUGUUAGAUGAGGAAGAAGUGGAUGACGAGCUAUUUCUAGUUAUGGUCCCUGCGCUUCAAUUGUGCAUCUUGUUUUGCAGAACUCACCAUUCAAUUCUACUGGUACAAUGGCAGGAAGUGGUAACACGUGUUGAUUUGACAAAAGAUGUCUACCAACCAGAGGCUCGAUUACACCAAGCAGAGGCUUCUUGAGGGACUCAACUAGCUCUGUAUAUAUGUCUAUCAUCGUCAGAGUCUAUAAUAUUUUAGCUGUCUUCUAAAUUUGUAAAAACUAUCCUUUUUAUGUCUCUAGCAUCAACUGAGUGAAUGUUGUUCUACCAUUUGUAGCUGAAACUUGGUACUUUCUGAUAGAUUGAUUUGUCUAAAUUUCUAGAAAAUAUCAUGUAUGUGAUGGCUCCAUGACUUUGGUGACAGAUUUUUCUUGUUUAUCAGCAUGUCA